UGCGACUCUAGAUCUUUACAC
rnacentral:piRNA from 1 species